CCUACGGGCGGCAGCAGUAGGGAAUCUUCCACAAUGGGCGAAAGCCUGAUGGAGCAACGCCGCGUGGGUGAAGAAGGUCUUCGGAUCGUAAAACCCUGUUGUUAGAGAAGAAAGUGCGUGAGAGUAACUGUCCACGUUUCGACGGUAUCUAACCAGAAAGCCACGGCUAACUACGUGCCAGCAGCCGCGGUAAUACGUAGGUGGCAAGCGUUAUCCGGAUUUAUUGGGCGUAAAGGGAACGCAGGCGGUCUUUUAAGUCUGAUGUGAAAGCCUUCGGCUUAACCGGAGUAGUGCAUUGGAAACUGGGAGACGUGAGUGCAGAAGAGGAGAGUGGAACUCGAGGUGUAGCGGUGAAAUGCGUAGAGAUAUGGAAGAACACCAGUGGCGAAGGCGGCUCUCUGGUCUGUAACUGACGCUGAGGUUCGAAAGCGUGGGUAGCAAACAGGAUUAGAUACCCGUGUAGUC
rnacentral:rRNA from 1 species